GUCUGCUUGUGCAGCCAGUCCCUUCGGGUGUCGGCCACCUUGGCGUGCGCUUUGGCGACCUUCUUUCGGGCCUUGGCCCGGUUCUUCGAUCCCUUGGCCUUGCGGGACAGCUCCCGCUGCGCGGCCUUGAGCUUUCUCUCCGCCUUGCGCAGGAAGCGCGGAUUGUCGAUCACCGAGCCGUCCGAGAGGACGGCGUAGGUGGUCAGGCCGAGGUCGAUACCGACCUCGGAGGAUGCCUCAGGCAGGUGGUCGGAUUCCACGUCCACCACGAACGAGGCGUGAUACCGGCCAGCCGCAUCCAGCACGACCGUCACCGACGACGGAUCGGCCGGAAGUGCGCGGGACCACCUCACCCGCACGUCGCCGAUCUUCGCCAGAUUCAGCUUCCUGUUGGAUCGGAUGCGGAAGCCGUUGCGGGUGAACCGCAGCGACUGCCGGCUGUCCUUCCGCGACUUGAACCGCGGCAAUCCGACCGGGCGGCCCGCGCGCUCCCCGGACACCGAGUCGAAGAAGUUCCGGUAGGCCGUAUCCAGAUCCCGAAGGGACUGGAUCAGCGGAUCCACACCCACCGAGGAAAGCCACGCCCGCUCC
rnacentral:antisense_RNA from 1 species